rnacentral:rRNA from 1 species
AACAUGCAAGUCGAGCGGUAAGGCCUUUCGGGGUACACGAGCGGCGAACGGGUGAGUAACACGUGGGUGAUCUGCCCUGCACUUCGGGAUAAGCCUGGGAAACUGGGUCUAAUACCGGAUAUGACCUCCUGUUGCAUGACUKGGGGUGGAAAGAUUUAUCGGUGCAGGAUGGGCCCGCGGCCUAUCAGCUUGUUGGUGGGGUAAUGGCCUACCAAGGCGACGACGGGUAGCCGACCUGAGAGGGUGACCGGCCACACUGGGACUGAGACACGGCCCAGACUCCUACGGGAGGCAGCAGUGGGGAAUAUUGCACAAUGGGCGAAAGCCUGAUGCAGCGACGCCGCGUGAGGGAUGACGGCCUUCGGGUUGUAAACCUCUUUCAGCAGGGACGAAGCGCAAGUGACGGUACCUGCAGAAGAAGCACCGGCUAACUACGUGCCAGCAGCCGCGGUAAUACGUAGGGUGCAAGCGUUGUCCGGAAUUACUGGGCGUAAAGAGUUCGUAGGCGGUUUGUCGCGUCGUUUGUGAAAACCAGCAGCUCAACUGCUGGCUUGCAGGCGAUACGGGCAGACUUGAGUACUGCAGGGGAGACUGGAAUUCCUGGUGUAGCGGUGAAAUGCGCAGAUAUCAGGAGGAACACCGGUGGCGAAGGCGGGUCUCUGGGCAGUAACUGACGCUGAGGAACGAAAGCGUGGGUAGCGAACAGGAUUAGAUACCCUGGUAGUCCACGCCGUAAACGGUGGGCGCUAGGUGUGGGUUCCUUCCACGGAAUCCGUGCCGUAGCUAACGCAUUAAGCGCCCCGCCUGGGGAGUACGGCCGCAAGGCUWAAACUCAAAGGAAUUGACSGGGGCCCGCACAAGCGGCGGAGCAUGUGGAUUAWUUCGAUGCAACGCGAAGAACCUUA